UUUCAAUAACGAUGAAAGACGGUACGGAUCAUCCAUCGCUUGUUUAGGUGGGUGGCAAAAAUUUCUCUCUUUUUGCGUUUCUUGCACCGUCGUCUGUCGAGUUUGAGAGAGGCUGCGGUCUGUUUGUUUGCUCUGGUAGCCCAACAAAAUGCCCUAGAAUCUAGAGAAUUUGAAUAAAAUCACAGCUGGGGUUUCACUUUCUUGGUGUUCUUGUCGACGGAUGAGUCAUUCCAAACAAUCCUUCCUGGUUUCAAUGGAAUCAAUAAAAAGGGGGCCAAUGACGAAUUACGGUGACACUCAUCGACUGCCUGAUGAUGUGAUGAUUGACAUCCUUGCAAGACUGCCUGUGAAAUCAGUGAUUCAGUCAAGAUCAGUGUGCAAAAAUUGGCACUCUAUCGUCAAAAACCCUAGUUUUGUUGCUAAGCACUUCAACCACCACACCAACAGUUCCCGCCUCUUUGUUUACCAUUUUGACUACGAUUCCGAGGAGUAUUUUUUUUCAUUGUACCCUGAUGAAUCACUGGCUGGUUCUCCCCCGGCGCAUCAGGAUGUGGUGGUGGAUAUGCCCCGCCGUCUAGCGAUCAGCCUCUAUAACGGCAUAUUGUGUAUGUACAAUCUUUCCAAUCGCUUUGCUCUGUGGAAUCCCGCAACCAGAGAAUUUAGGUCCCUCCCCGUACUCCCUCUUGACUUUCCGCCAAAUGUGGUGAUUGAGAAAGAAAUUUUUGGAUUUGGAUUUGGUUUGGAUCCCAUUACUAAUGAUUACAAGGUGGUUUGGGUUUGGGUCACUGCGGAUGAGUUUAUAAAGAAAAGGUGGAUGGCUGCUGUGUAUACCGUAUCAUCUGAUUCCUGGAGAUAUCUUGAUGUUUCUUUGCCUUAUACUUGGAUGGAUCCCCCUCUGUCUAAUACAUGCAUUAAUGGAGUAUAUCACUGGUAUGCAAUGGACAAGGAAGAACAUCCUCUGAUCCUUUCAUUUGACAUGGGCAAUGAGUUGUUUCACGAGAUACGUGGUGAUCUUCCAAGUCCACAACCUGCAGCUAUUACAACCUACAAUAACUCUCUUGCUCUGUGUUAUUAUGAUUUUCCUGAUGUUGACAUAUGGGUGAUGAUGGAAGACGGGAGUUGGACAAAACAUUCAACAGUUGUAAUCCCCACUACAAUGCUGGGGUUUUGGAAGAACGGUCUGCUUUUCAUGGAAACUGAUGAUCCUGGUCAUUUGGGCUUAUAUGAUCCAGAGACUGAUAAAGUUAAGGAUCUAGGAUCCCGGAUUUGUGCCAAGCCUUUGGUCUACAGGGAGAGCCUAGUCGCAAUAAGAGGCAGGAAUGGGUUCAUAGAACAGGAUCAGUUGUCUGAUGUAGAUCAAGUUUUAAACUUUUCUAACUGAGUUCACUUACCUGCCACUCCGUCUAAUGAAGAUUUUGAAAUUCCUGGUUUAUAUCUCAUCUAGUAUGAUUCAGGCGUGUGUUCUGGUGCAACAACAAUGACUAAGAAGGAAAAUGGGGAAAACCAGAUGCAGACCUCAAAGAUAAUUUUUGUUAUUGAUUUGUCCGUAGGUAAGAACUGCCUGGUUGAGGCAUCUGGUUUGUUGUCGGAUUAUGGUUUACCACCAUUUUGGAAGUUUGUUGACUAAAUUUUUGAACAAAUGAGUGGGAGUGGCAAAUGUCUUGGGAACUUAUAUUUCAUUUCUUGGAGAGCAAUAUUAUAAAAUUUCAAAAUAUAUUCUGAACAAACAAAUCAAAAAGGCAGGUUUUAUUCAGUGCAAUUCUAGUACUGAGAUGGAUACGAAAAGUGAGUCUUAUCUCUAUGUAUUAUAUAUGUCAAAUGCAAUCUAUACUAUCUGAUUCUCUAUAAUCAUUUUAGUCAAUUUCGUAUUAUUCAUGGAAUUAAUUGAAGAAUCAUCUUGGAAUAUGUAUGUUUGUAGAAAUGGCUUGAGUUCUCUCUAUUGGGGCUUCUUUAGCAAUCCUUUGUAUUAAUUUCCACGGAAAGUUAUUUUGGAUAAAAUAAGUUUGAUGGGGACUUGGGAGACAAUAAAUUUUAGAGGUAUAGAGAUUUAAUGAUAUUUCUGGUGUUGGGAUUGUUUGAUCACGAAGACCUUGCCUAAUAGAGAUUUAUUUCUUUACUUACUCUCAUUUUAAAGAAAUCUACAGAUGGUCCGUUUUUAAAAUUCAAAUUCCCAAUUUGUCAUCUUCAUUUCUGUAAUAUCAUUCUGUAAUGGUAUUGACCCUUGCAGAAAUGACUUUUUUACUUAUAAAUAUUUGCAAAGAUUUAUGCGUGCAAAGAUAAUGAAUGGAGGCUUUUAGAAAUCUUUAUUCCACCUAGAACUUUUAUUCUGUCU